rnacentral:lncRNA from 1 species
CUAGAUUCCUUCUAAGAAAAAUACAAUUAGUAGCAGACCAUGUUUAUUUUGUUGAAAUUUUAAAAGCCAAUAUUGUGUAUAUAUGUUAUUUUUCAACUUUCUAAGUAAAUAUAGAUAGUCUGAUUGCCUCAGAAUAUAGCUUUUGUAUAUUGCACAGAUGUAUGAUGUCGUUGUAAUGUAAUUAUUUAAUUUUUUACUGCUCUUUUGGAUAUGUAUGCCCAUUUGGCAUCAGGGUGUCAGAGGUGGUAUCAGAGUAGAAUCCUAGGAAUAUCCCAUACAACUAAGCUUAAGGUUAGGAUAACAUAAAUUAGACC